rnacentral:rRNA from 1 species
UACGUAGGGUGCAAGCGUUGUCCGGAAUUAUUGGGCGUAAAGAGCUCGUAGGCGGUCUGUCACGUCGGCUGUGAAAUCCCGAGGCUCAACCUCGGGUCUGCAGUCGAUACGGGCAAACUAGAGUAUUGCAGGGGAGACUGGAAUUCCUGGUGUAGCGGUGGAAUGCGCAGAUAUCAGGAGGAACACCGGUGGCGAAGGCGGGUCUCUGGGCCGAUACUGACGCUGAGGAGCGAAAGCGUGGGGAGCGAACAGG